rnacentral:rRNA from 1 species
AUGUGUGUGUGUUGUGUUUGUGUGUGCGUGGCCGCGACCAUGCUUCGCAUUUCGGUGUUGUCUAUGUGUGGUCGUGUGGUCGUCUCACCUCAAACACAUCCUAGGCUGGUGCAUGAGUUGCUGAGGAAACGCCCAAGGUUGUGGCCUCUCGACCACAACUUCGUCUCAUGGAAGCUGUUGGAUGUGGACAGCCAGAACGAGUUCAAUUCUACAUGGCUCAUCAAGGAGAAAAAGAAGAGGAACUCGAGUGGUUUCUCUGUGGAAAAGGGCAGAAGAAAUUGUGCUAUGAACAUGCUUGUUGAUACGCCCAUGAGAACGGGUGCAUUUUUCUAUAGAUUUUUGUGUUGCUGA